AGGAAAGAUGGCCGAGUGGUUGAAGGCAUAGCAUUGGAAAUGCUAUUUAGCUUAAUUGCUAACGAGGGUUCGAAUCCCUUUCUUUCCUU
rnacentral:tRNA from 1 species